rnacentral:rRNA from 1 species
UAUAGCCCCCCUUGUGGUUGGUGGNCAGGUGGUGCAGGGCUGUCGUCAGCUCGUGUNGUGAGAUGUUGGGUUAAGUCCGCAAAGAGCGCAACCCUUGUCCUGNGUUGCCAGCACGUAAUGGUGGGGACUCGCAGGAGACUGCCGGGGUCAACUCGGAGGAAGGUGGGGAUGACGUCAAGUCAUCAUGCCCCUUAUGUCCAGGGCUUCACACAUGCUACAAUGGCCGGUACAGAGGGCUGCGAUACCGUGAGGUGGAGCGAAUCCCUUAAAACCGGUGUCAGUUCGGAUCGGGGUCUGCAACUCGACCCCGUGAAGUCGGAGUCGCUAGUAAUCGCAGAUCAGCAACGCUGCGGUGAAUACGUUCCCGGGCCUUGUACACACCGCCCGUCCCGUCAUGAAAGUCGGUAACACCCGAAGCCGGUGGCCCAACCCCUUG